rnacentral:lncRNA from 1 species
AAGAGCACAACAAUGCUUGAAUGUCAAACUCUCAAAGAAAACUAUUAUCAGGGAAAAAAAAGUAUAUAUAUAUAUAUAUAUAUAUAUAUAUAUAUGCAACCUUUCAAGUCCAUGGAGGGGUAGGGAAAAAGAUUAUUUGCAAAUACGCAGAAAAAACAAACGAACAACAAACAAAAUCUUGUUUCUGAUCCCUACACAACAUGCUUUACUUCUUACAUUACAGAAGUGAAUCACAGAGGAUCCUGAAAACUAAACUUUAUUUGCUGUUUUGGAAUAAGCCCUUUUUCACGUGUCGCUAGAGGGGGUUGUCUUAUUUUCUUUCUUUCCUUUCUUUCUUUUCUUUCUUUCUUUCUUUCUUUCUUUCUUUCUUUCUUUCUUUCUUUCUUUCUUUCCUUUCUUUCUUUCUUUCUUUCUUCCUUCCUUCCUUUCUUCCUU